rnacentral:rRNA from 1 species
GACGAACGCUGGCGGCGUGCUUAACACAUGCAAGUCGAACGGAAAGGCCCCCUUGUGGGGUACUCGAGUGGCGAACGGGUGAGUAACACGUGAGUAACCUACCCUUGACUUUGGGAUAACUUCAGGAAACUGGGGCUAAUACCGGAUAGGAGCUCCUGCUGCAUGGUGGGGGUUGGAAAGUUUCGGCGGUUGGGGAUGGACUCGCGGCUUAUCAGCUUGUUGGUGGGGUAGUGGCUCACCAAGGCUUUGACGGGUAGCCGGCCCGAGAGGGUGACCGGCCACAUUGGGACUGAGAUACGGCCCAGACUCCUACGGGAGGCAGCAGUGGGGAAUAUUGCACAAUGGGCGGAAGCCUGAUGCAGCAACGCCGCGUGCGGGAUGACGGCCUUCGGGUUGUAAACCGCUUUCGCCUGUGACGAAGCGUGAGUGACGGUAAUGGGUAAAGAAGCACCGGCUAACUACGUG